rfam:Flavobacteria bacterium MS024-3C ctg91, whole genome shotgun sequence.
UAAGGUGAUCAUGGCGAUGAGGCCCACCCUUUUCCAUUCCGAACAAGGAAGUUAAGCUCAUCAGCGCCGAUGGUACUGCUAUACCAAGUGGGAGAGUAGGUCGUUGCCUUUU